GACGAACGCUGGCGGCGUGCUUAACACAUGCAAGUCGAACGAAGUGGCGAACGGGUGAGUAACGCGUAAUCAACCUGCCCUUCAGAGGGGUACAACAGUUGGAAACGACUGCUAAUCCCGCAUACUGAAGGAGGGGAUUGCGUCUGAUUAGCUAGUUGGGGGGGUAACGGCCCACCAAGGCGAUGAUCAGUAGCGGGUCGGAGAGGAGGAACGGCCAAAUGGGGACUGAGACAAGGACCAGACUCCUAAGGGAGGCAGCAGGGGGGAAUCUUCCGCAAUGGACGAAAGUCUGACGGAGCAACGCCGGGGGGGUGAUGACGGCCUUCGGGUUGGAAAGCUCUGUUAAUCGGGACGCGGUACCGGAAUAGAAAGCCACGGCUAACUACGUGCCAGCCGCCGCGGUAAUUC
rnacentral:rRNA from 1 species